rnacentral:lncRNA from 1 species
AUCGUCAUCAUCAACCUUCUUCCCUCUCCAAUUCCAUGAAGCUCUUCAUCGUUCGUGAGUAAUCUAUUCGUAGGCUCGCUGGGCGGUGAUGAGUAGGAUGAGAUCUAUCAUGUAGUCGAGUUAGUUUUGACGGGGAUUGAUCCCUAGUAUCCACUAUGUUCUGAGAUUGAUGUUGCUACCACUUUGCCAUGCUUAAUGCUUGUCACUAGGGCCCGAGUGCCAUGAUUUCACAUCUGAAAUUAUUAUGUUGUCACCA